AGGAAGUAAAUGCAAAGAUUGAGUUAUAACUUCUGAUAUUUUCUUUAAAUUUAUUGCUUCUGCUAUCCUGACCGGUUAACAGAUUCCAGAGAAAGGUGGGAGGAUGCGUGAGGAGAGGAAAUUUGACAGAGCCUUUUCGACAGCAUAAUGAGAAAGCUGGAUUUUCAGACCUAGAAGUACACAACAAAUAGCAAUGUUAUACAACAAAUGACAAUAUCAAUGUCAACAGCAUAUGAGGCAAGGAAACAGGGACAAUUAUUUGACAUGAAAAUAAUGUUGUACAUUAUCUUCCAUUUGUACGUGAGAAUCGUCGAAUGAUGAAUCAUAU